rnacentral:rRNA from 1 species
AGGUUAAGCUGGAAAGGGCGCACGGUGGAUGCCUUGGCACUAGGAGCCGAUGAAGGACGGGGCAAACGCCGAAACGCUUCGGGGAGCUGUAAGCAAGCGUUGAUCCGGAGAUGUCCGAAUGGGGGAACCCACUGUCCGUAAUGGGGCAGUAUCCAUGCCUGAAUCCAUAGGGCAUGGAGGGCACACCCGGGGAACUGAAACAUCUUAGUACCCGGAGGAGAAGAAAGCAACCGCGAUUCCCUGAGUAGCGGCGAGCGAAACGGGAACAGCCCAAACCAAGAGGCAUGUCCUCUUGGGGUUGUAGGACCGCUCACUGUGGGAGUGAGAAAGGAACGGGGUAGACGAACCGGUCUGGAACGGCCGGCCGGAGAAGGUGAGAGCCCUGUAGUCGAAACUUCGUUCCCUCCCGAGCGGAUCCUGAGUACGGCGGGACACGGGAAAUCCCGUCGGAAGCAGGGAGGACCAUCUCCCAAGGCUAAAUACUCCCUAGUGACCGAUAGUGCACCAGUACCGUGAGGGAAAGGUGAAAAGCACCCCGGGAGGGGAGUGAAAGAGAACCUGAAACCGUGUGCCUACAAGUAGUCAGAGCCCGUUGAUGGGUGAUGGCGUGCCUUUUGUAGAAUGAACCGGCGAGUGACGAUGGCGUGCGAGGUUAAGCCGAAGAGGCGGAGCCGCAGCGAAAGCGAGUCUGAAUAGGGCGUGAAGUACGUCGUCGUCGACCCGAAACCAGGUGAUCUACCCAUGUCCAGGGUGAAGGCCGGGUAACACCGGCUGGAGGCCCGAACCCACGCACGUUGAAAAGUGCGGGGAUGAGGUGUGGGUAGGGGUGAAAUGCCAAUCGAACUUGGAGAUAGCUGGUUCUCCCCGAAAUAGCUUUAGGGCUAGCCUCGGGUUUAAGAGUGUUGGAGGUAGAGCACUGAUUGGGCUAGGGGCCCUCAACGGGUUACCGAACCCAGUCAAACUCCGAAUGCCAACGACUUAUGCCCGGGAGUCAGACUGCGAGUGAUAAGAUCCGUGGUCGAGAGGGGAACAGCCCAGACCGCCAGCUAAGGCCCCGAAGUGCACGUUCAGUGGAAAAGGAUGUGGAGUUGCCGAGACAACCAGGAUGUUGGCUUAGAAGCAGCCACCAUUUAAAGAGUGCGUAAUAGCUCACUGGUCGAGUGACUCUGCGCCGAAAAUGUACCGGGGCUAAACGUGCCGCCGAAGCUGCGGGAUGACCGUUGGUCAUCGGUAGGGGAGCGUUCUAAGGGCAGAGAAGCCAGACCGGAAGGACUGGUGGAGCGCUUAGAAGUGAGAAUGCCGGUAUGAGUAGCGAAAACAGAGGUGAGAAUCCUCUGCGCCGAAAGCCUAAGGGUUCCUGAGGAAGGUUCGUCCGCUCAGGGUUAGUCGGGACCUAAGCCGAGGCCGAAAGGCGUAGGUGAUGGACAACAGGUKGAGAUUCCUGUACCACCUUCUUCCCGUUUGAGCGAUGGGGGGACGCAGGAGGAUAGGGCGAGCAGGCGGCUGGAAGAGCCUGUCCAAGCCGUGAGGCUGAUCCGCAGGCAAAUCCGCGGAUCGWAAGGCYAAGCGGUGACGGCGACGGACRYRGUCCGGAAGUCCCCGAUUUCACACUGCCAAGAAAAGCCUCUAGCGAGGGAAGAGGUGCCCGUACCGCAAACCGACACAGGUAGGCGAGGAGAGAAUCCUAAGGCGCGCGGGAGAACUCUCGUUAAGGAACUCGGCAAAAUGACCCCGUAACUUCGGGAGAAGGGGUGCUCUUUGGGGUGAAGAGCYCUGAAGAGCCGCAGUGAAAAGGCCCAAGCGACUGUUUAUCAAAAACACAGGUCUCUGCGAAGCCGAAAGGCGACGUAUAGGGGCUGACACCUGCCCGGUGCUGGAAGGUUAAGGGGAGCGCUUAGCGGAAGCGAAGGUGCGAACCGAAGCCCCAGUAAACGGCGGCCGUAACUAUAACGGUCCUAAGGUAGCGAAAUYCCUGGUCGCGUAAGUUCCGACCAGAACGCAGGGGGUAACGACAGGGGCGCUGUCUCAACG